UGCGUAGGCGGCGCGGUAAGUCGGGUGUGAAAUCUCGGAGCUUAACUCCGAAACUGCAUUCGAUACUGCCGUGCUUGAGGACUGGAGAGGAGACUGGAAUUUACGGUGUAGCGGUGAAAUGCGUAGAUAUCGUAAGGAAGACCAGUGGCGAAGGCGGGUCUCUGGACAGUUCCUGACGCUGAGGCACGAAGGGUCAGGGGAGGCAAAACCG
rnacentral:rRNA from 1 species